rnacentral:misc_RNA from 1 species
UUUGGAACCUCCUCGUAAUAGAUAAGCCUUGGCAGAGUUGUGAAAAAGCAAGAGUAAGGGUCAAGGUGGUCAAUUUGGACCCUAAUCGAAUAAAUUCUUUUAACUCUCAUUUGCCUUUGAUUGAACGAUUGUCUGGCUUUCCAAGGUUUCUGCUGAUCUGUGCCAACAAUGGUGAAGCUUUCAGUGGAGCUGAUUCAGCAGGCCUACCAGCACAUCAACCCUGUGCGAGAUCGGGAGCUCGACUUAAGGGCCUACAAGAUACCCGUCAUUGAAAAUCUAGGUGCCACACUGGAUCAGUUUGAUACAAUUGAUUUCUCUGAGAAUGAAAUCAGGAAGCUAGAUGGAUUCCCACUUCUGAAGAGGCUUAAGUGCCUCAUGAUGAACAAUAACAGGAUAGUGAGGAUCGGCGAGACGCUGCACGAGCAGGUGCCGAACGUGCAGACAGUGCUGCUGACCAACAACAGCCUGCAGGAGCUGGCCGACCUGGACCCGCUCGGCAGCCUGCCGCGACUCACCACACUCAGCCUCAUCGGCAACCCGGUGGUGAUGCGACAACACUACCGGCUCUACACCAUCUUCCGGAUGCCCCACUUGCGCGUGCUCGACUUCCGGCGCGUCAAACAACAGGAGCGGGAGCAGGCAGACGCCCUGUUCAAAAGCAAAAAGGGCAAACAGAUUCAGAAGGAGAUCUCCAAACGGUCAAAGACGUUUGUACCCGGAGGCGGCCUGGAGGCGGCAGUCCAGGCAAGAGGUGCCGUUCCCUCGGGUCCGUCGGCAGAGGACACGCGGCUCAUUAAGGAGGCGAUCGCUCGCGCCACCUCGCUGCAGGAGAUCGAGCGGCUGAACCAGAUCCUCCGCUCUGGCGCCGUGCCGGGCCCAGACGUCAUGGAGGGCAUCCGCAGCGGCCAGCCCAUGGAGGAAGGGUUCUGAGCGUCUCUCACAAAUUUCUGCGAUGUCUGGGCGGGUGCCCGGGCCGGAGCCCCCACCGCUGGCCGCUGGGUGACAGUCCCGC